UACCCAGGGUUAGGGCUUCCACAUCUUUUUGAGGGAGACGGUUGAACCCAUAACAUCGUGUUUAUUUUAGGAAGCCAGGGAAAAGAGGGCUCAUGUUCCUUUGCCUUGUGACAAAGCAUAAAGUGGAGUAGCCUGGAGGGGUAGUGGUUGAGGCAAGGAAGAAGACACUGGGUGGUGUUAGGAGAAACUUGCGAAAGAAGAGAUGAAAAACUUGAGACUAAGACGCCAACGACUUUUCAAAGAUUCCACAGCCACCUGUGUCAGAAUGGAGCUGAAUUCAACAUCUUCUGAUGAAUCCAACUGCAUCACUGACAGCCAGUGUGAGCUUGGCACAUUUGUGCAGCCGUACAUGGAGGUCAUGAUUAUAACAGCUCAUCCGCAGAGAGAGGUGACUGCAAGUGUAUUGGGCAGUCCUGUCAUGACUAUAAGGAGCUUCACCUGCGUGGAAGGGCAUGAGGCUCUGGACAACCCCUAACCACCAAUCCUGUCUCCUUCCUGAUGGUGCUGUGGCUUCCAUGCCUAACUGUAUUGUUAGUUUAAAAAGUAUGAC